GAUGAACGCUAGCGGCAGGCCUAAUACAUGCAAGUCGAACGGUGUCUUCGGACAUAGUGGCGCACGGGUGCGUAACACGUAUGCAACCUACCUUACAUUGGGGGAUAGCCUUUCGAAAGGGAGAUUAAUACCGCAUAAGACAGUAACUAGGCAUCUAGUAGCUGUUAACGAUUUAUCGAUGUAAGCUGGGCAUGCGUCCAAUUAGCUAGUUGGUGAGGUAACGGCUCACCAAGACAAUGAUUGGUAGGGGAACUGAGAGGUCAAUCCCCCACACUGGCACUGGGAUACGGGCCAGACUCCUACGGGAGGCAGCAGUAGGGAAUAUUGGGCAAUGGACGCAAGUCUGACCCAGCCAUGCCGCGUGCAGGAUGAAGGCGUUAUGCGUUGUAAACUGCUUUUAUACAGGAAGAAACGACUCUUGCGAGAGGCAUUGACGGUACCGUAUGAAUAAGCACCGGCUAACUCCGUGCCAGCCGCCGCCGUAACAC
rnacentral:rRNA from 1 species